GACGAACGCUGGCGGCGUGCCUAACACAUGCAAGUCGAGCGAGGAGGAGGAAGCUUGCUUCCGAAUCCUAGCGGCGGACGGGUGAGUAACGCGUGAGCAAUCUGCCUUUUACAGGGGGAUAACGCAUCGAAAGAUGUGCUAAUACCGCGUAAGACCACAGCACCGCAUGGUGCAGGGGUCAAAGGAGCAAUCCGGUAAAAGAUGAGCUCGCGUCCGAUUAGCUAGUUGGUGAGAUAACAGCCCACCAAGGCGACGAUCGGUAGCCGACCUGAGAGGGUGAUCGGCCACAUUGGAACUGAGACACGGUCCAG
rnacentral:rRNA from 1 species